CAGGUGGCACCAGUCCUCCCUCUUGAAACCUUUGUAACUAUUAAGGUUGAAGUGCCAUUUAAAGAAAAAGGAAGGCAAAGAAAUGAGCUCUAGGAAGCCAUGGUCCCCAGGCAUCAGGAGUCACCUUUUCUGGGACACUCACCAGCACAGCCUCACUGCACUCUUAUUCCUCCAGGACUUUCUCCAAGGGGAACUUGUCACCUGCCCUUCGGCCCUGCACUAUUAGGAGAGUAAUUCAGUCAUCCAGCCUAAUUUUCUUAUUUUAUCACGGCAUCCUGUAAACUGAAGGCUCUCCAGCUACAAGAAUGUAUCCUCAGAGAGCAAUGAGGGCUACAACCAACAAUCAUUCUGUUACAUAAACAAAAAAUUCUUUAUUAAACUACCAGUACUGACAUUUCCCCCCAAACCAUCUUUGCCUUAUAAAUAAAUCAAAAUGUAAAAUGGAGUAACUUUUAAAGAAAUACAAUAAUCUAAUAACAGAUUGGUUACAUUCCCAAUCUGUUAGUAUAUCUUGACUAAAACUUGGAUUUAUUUUGGGGUAAAUAAAAACUUCAGCAUUAAAUCCCUUCAGAUUUGGGGCUUCUGAGUAGUUUCCAAGCUUGGUGAAUAUCUAAGGAUUUUAGAACAUCCUGAUAUGUCUUUACUCAGAUUCCAAAUGCUUUUUAAUUUAGCUGUUAUCUAAGUUAAUCUCAAGAGGUGGCCAAUAGAUAUUUGUUUAAUAAAUGAAAAGAUCUGUAUAUGUUAUCACCUCCAGAUAAUCCUUAUAUCAAAAGUUUGCCUAACUU
rnacentral:lncRNA from 1 species